rnacentral:rRNA from 1 species
GACGAACGCUGGCGGCGUGCUUAACACAUGCAAGUCGAACGGAAAGGCCCUGCUUUUGUUUGGUGCUCGAGUGGCGAACGGGUGAGUAACACGUGAGUAACCUGCCCUUGACUUUGGGAUAACUUCAGGAAACUGGGGCUAAUACCGGAUAUGAGCUCCUGCUGCAUGGUGUGGGUUGGAAAGUUUCGGCGGUUGGGGAUGGACUCGCGGCUUAUCAGCUUGUUGGUGGGGUAGUGGCUUACCAAGGCUUUGACGGGUAGCCGGCCUGAGAGGGUGACCGGCGACCUUGGGCCUGAGAUACGGACCAGACUGCUACGGGAGGCAGUAGUGGGGAAUAUUGCACAAUGGGCGGAAGCCUGAUGCAGCAACGCCGCGUGCGGGAUGACGGCCUUCGGGUUGUAAACCGAUUUCGCCUGUGACGAAGCGUGAGUGACGGUAAUGGGUAAAGAAGCACCGGCUAACUACGUG